rnacentral:rRNA from 1 species
UUCCGCCGCUGGCGGCAGGCCUAAUACAUGCAGUCGAGCGGCCUUUCGGGGUCAGCGGCGGACGGGUGAGUAACGCGUGGGAACAUGCCUUUCGGUGCGGAAUAACCGUUGGAAACGGCGGCUAAUGCUGCAUACGCCCUGAGUGGGGAAAGAUUUAUCGCCGAGGGAUUGGCCCGCGUUGGAUUAGGUAGUUGGUGGGGUAAGGGCCUACCAAGCCGACGAUCCAUAGCUGGUCUGGGAGGAUGAUCAGCCACACUGGGACUGAGACACGGCCCAGACUCCUACGGGAGGCAGCAGUAGGGAAUAUUGGACAAUGGGGGAAACCCUGAUCCAGCCAUGCCGCGUGAGUGAAGAAGGCCUUAGGGUUGUAAAGCUCUUUCACUGGCGAGGAUGAUGACGGUAGCCAGAGAAGAAGCCCCGGCAAACUUCGUGCCAGCAGCCGCGGUAAUACGAAGGGGGCGAGCGUUGUUCGGAAUUACUGGGCGUAAAGGGCGCGUAGGCGGCGCGUUGCGUCAGAGGUGAAAGCCCCGGGCUCAACCUGGGAACGGCCUUUGAUACGGGCGUGCUAGAAUCCAAGAGAGGGUGGUGGAAUUCCCAGUGUAGAGGUGAAAUUCGUAGAUAUUGGGAAGAACACCGGUGGCGAAGGCGGCCACCUGGCUUGGUAUUGACGCUGAGGCGCGAAAGCGUGGGGAGCGAACAGGAUUAGAUACCCUGGUAGUCCACGCCGUAAACGAUGUGCGCUAGCCGUCGGGCAGCAUGCUGUUCGGUGGCGCAAGCUAACGCGUUAAGCGCACCGCCUGGGAGUACGGCCACAAGGUUA